rnacentral:lncRNA from 1 species
GUCAAUGGACACGCCAAAAAAAUGGCUUUGAAAUAACGCAGGAGCGAACUACCUUUUUUAAUGAGAAAAGUAAAAAAAAACACGUCAUCAAAUUCAGGAAGACUUGCUCUUUCUGUUGGUUCUUUAAAACGCUAGAUCGCUCCUCCAAAUCGACAAGCAAUCGCGGUUUGAAAAUGGGGUAUUUUUGCUAUAUUUUAAUGCCGAUGGCGGGAAUAGACGGGUGUUGAUCCUUAUGGCGCGAAGGAAACUAUUUUCUAUAUCUUUGAAACAUACGCAUGUAGUUGUUACAUAUUUUGAGUGUAAUGUUACCUUUACAAUUAAGGUCAGAAUGUUAGUUUACUGUAUUGACUGUAUUUUUGUCAUUUUGUUGUAGAAUUCGGACAUGGAAUCAUGCAGAUAGUAGUGAUGUUGUCGUUGUUAGUGACGAAUGAAAUGAUACUACCAUAUUAAAAGCGAGUAUAUACGAGGGUAUAUACGUCUAAAGGUGAUACCCCAGGGAAACCUAAUAAUAAGAGACACAAAAUUUCACGUUUGAAGAAUUCAACAUCAAGUCGAACUUUGUUUCAGAGUCCUGGAACAUCACCAAAGGUAUAAAAGUACAAAGGUUUUUACAAACAUAAAAUACAGUACGACUGAAAACAUAAAAUACAGUACAAAAACAUUGUAUUUUAAACCCUUUAAGUGGCAAUACGCCCUGAUGCACCCUACUUUAGUAUUUUACUCUGUCUAACGCUAGACCAUUUUACUUCUCAAGUGGAGAGUGCUGCCACUCAAUGGGUUAGUGAGACAAUGAGAUGUUAAUGGGGGGGCUAAAAGUUAUUAUCAUAGUAACAAUAACAUUGUAUUUUAAUGCUUUUUUGCCUGUGAGAAUUUCUGUCCAAAGACGUACAAGGCUGGGGGUUGCAACCCUCCAGUCAGUGUUCAGUUGGGCAGGAAUCUGCUUUAAAAAUUGGGCAAUUGUUUUAAGAUUGACUUCAAACAGAAUUUCUGCAAGUCUGCAUAGGAGUUAUGUUCCUUCUAUUUUAUACCUCUUGUUCAUCUAUAAAUAAACUCAUGACAAUGUUGGGCAAUUUCUGUCCACCCGUACGCCAAUGAUAUUUUUCAAUGCUGGGAGUGGCAUUUCAGAAAACCUAUAGUGCACAAAUUUCCUGGAGAAGCAUGCCCACAAUCCUGGUAAAAUCCAUGAGUUUCUUUGUUGUUGUCUAAUGGUGCUGGCACUGACAUUGCCUCUCUCACUUUUGCUGUUUGUUCUGUAGUUUCCUAUCACAAAGAUUAAACCGACACCUCCAAAGAAAUUCCCAGUAAAACUUCAUAAAUGGACAUGCGAGGAAGAUAAAGCAUUCAUUGAAUUCAUAUCUGUUGCAGAUAAUCAUGCGAAUGAUUGCAAUUGAAGAGGUUUACCAAUUAUGUAAUACCUCUAGAUUGUUUUAAUACAUCAUUAAUUAAGCUCAUAUACUAUUCAUGUGUACUGGUGAAAUGAAUGUAAUGCAACAUUUUAAAAACUUCUCUUUAUUUGUGCACAUAAUUUUUUUUUUAAAAACCAUUUUAAUUAUCUUUAAGUACAGUAAUAUUAUGUUAACAUUU